rnacentral:rRNA from 1 species
UAAUACAGAGGGUGCAAGCGUUAAUCGGAAUUACUGGGCGUAAAGCGCGCGUAGGCGGCUAAUUAAGUCGGGUGUGAAAGCCCCGGGCUCAACCUGGGAAUUGCAUCCGAUACUGAUUGGCUAGAGUAUGAGAGAGGGAGGUAGAAUUCCACGUGUAGCGGUGAAAUGCGUAGAUAUGUGGAGGAAUACCGGUGGCGAAGGCGGCCUCCUGGCUUAAUACUGACGCUGAGGUGCGAAAGCGUGGGGAUCAAACAGGAUUAGAUACCCUGGUAGUCCACGCCGUAAACGAUGUCAACUAGCCGUUGGGCACCUUAGUGUGCUUGGUGGCGCAGCUAACGCGAUAAGUUGACCGCCUGGGGAGUACGGUCGCAAGAUUA